GACGAACGCUGGCGGCGUGCCUAAUACAUGCAAGUCGAGCGAAGGUUUUCUGGUGCUUGCACUAGAAAAACUUAGCGGCGAACGGGUGAGUAACACGUAAAGAACCUGCUUCAUAGACAGGGACAACUAUUGGAAACGAUAGCUAAUACCGGAUAACAGUAUUUCUCGCAUGAGAGCUAUCUAAAAGUUGGUUAUGCUAACAAUAUGAGAUGGCUUUGCGGUGCAUUAGCUAGUUGGUGGGGUAAAGGCCCACCAAGGCGACGACGCAUAGCCGACCUGAGGGGGUGAUCGGCCACACUGAGACUGAGACACGGCCCAAACUCCUACGGGAGGCAGCAGUGGGGAAUCUUCCGCAAUGGGCGAAAGCCUGACGGAGCAACGCCGCGUGGGUGAAGAAGGAUUUCGGUUCGUAAAGCUCUGUUGUUAGGAAAGAAUGGAUAUGUAGUAACUAUACAUGUAAGAGACGGUACCUAACCAGAAAGCCACGGCUAACUACGU
rnacentral:rRNA from 1 species